AUUGAACGCUGGCGGCAUGCCUUACACAUGCAAGUCGAACGGUAACAGGCCGCAAGGUGCUGACGAGUGGCGAACGGGUGAGUAAUACAUCGGAACGUGCCCGAGAGUGGGGGAUAACGGAGCGAAAGCUUUGCUAAUACCGCAUACGAUCUACGGAUGAAAGCAGGGGACCGCGAGGCCUUGUGCUCAUGGAGCGGCCGAUGGCAGAUUAGGUAGUUGGUGGGAUAAAAGCUUACCAAGCCGACGAUCUGUAGCUGGUCUGAGAGGACGACCAGCCACACUGGGACUGAGACACGGCCCAGACUCCUACGGGAGGCAGCAGUGGGGAAUUUUGGACAAUGGGCGAAAGCCUGAUCCAGCCAUGCCGCGUGCAGGAUGAAGGCCUUCGGGUUGUAAACUGCUUUGUACGGACGAAAGACUACCUUCUAAUAAAGGGGUUCGAUGACGGUACCGUAAGAAUAAGCACCGGCUAACUACGUGCCAGCAGCCGCGGU
rnacentral:rRNA from 1 species